UGGGGAAUAUUGGACAAUGGGCGGAAGCCUGAUCCAGCAACGCCGCGUGAGGGAUGACGGCCUUCGGGUUGUAAACCUCUUUCAGCACAGACGAAGCGCAAGUGACGGUAUGUGCAGAAGAAGGACCGGCCAACUACGUGCCAGCAGCCGCGGUAAUACGUAGGGUCCGAGCGUUGUCCGGAAUUAUUGGGCGUAAAGGGCUCGUAGGCGGUUUGUCGCGUCGGGAGUGAAAACACCGGGCUUAACUCGGUGCUUGCUUUCGAUACGGGCAGACUAGAGGUAUUCAGGGGAGAACGGAAUUCCUGGUGUAGCGGUGAAAUGCGCAGAUAUCAGGAGGAACACCGGUGGCGAAGGCGGUUCUCUGGGAAUAUCCUGACGCUGAGGAGCGAAAGUGUGGGGAGCGAACAGGAUUAGAUACCCUGGUAGUCCACACCGUAAACGUUGGGCGCUAGGUGUGGGGUCCAUUCCACGGAUUCCGUGCCGCAGCUAACGCAUUAAGCGCCCCGCCUGGGGAGUACGGCCCAAGGCUAAAACUCAAAGGAAUUGACGGGGUCAUAGCUGUUUCC
rnacentral:rRNA from 1 species